rnacentral:rRNA from 1 species
GACGAACGCUGGCGGCGUGCUUAACACAUGCAAGUCGAACGGAAAGGCCCUGCUUUUGUGGGGUGCUCGAGUGGCGAACGGGUGAGUAACACGUGAGUAACCUGCCCUUGACUUUGGGAUAACUUCAGGAAACUGGGGCUAAUACCGGAUAGGAGCUCCUGCUGCAUGGUGGGGGUUGGAAAGUUUCGGCGGUUGGGGAUGGACUCGCGGCUUAUCAGCUUGUUGGUGGGGUAGUGGCUUACCAAGGCUUUGACGGGUAGCCGGCCUGAGAGGGUGACCGGCCACAUUGGGACUGAGAUACGGCCCAGACUCCUACGGGAGGCAGCAGUGGGGAAUAUUGCACAAUGGGCGGAAGCCUGAUGCAGCAACGCCGCGUGCGGGAUGACGGCCUUCGGGUUGUAAACCGCUUUCGCCUGUGACGAAGCGUGAGUGACGGUAAUGGGUAAAGAAGCACCGGCUAACUACGUGCCAGCAGCCGCGGUGAUACGUAGGGUGCGAGCGUUGUCCGGAUUUAUUGGGCGUAAGGGGCUCGUAGGUGGUUGAUCGCGUCGGAAGUGUAAUCUUGGGGCUUAACCCUGAGCGUGCUUUCGAUACGGGUUGACUUGAGGAAGGUAGGGGAGAAUGGAAUUCCUGGUGGAGCGGUGGAAUGCGCAGAUAUCAGGAGGAACACCAGUGGCGAAGGCGGUUCUCUGGGCCUUUCCUGACGCUGAGGAGCGAAAGCGUGGGGAGCGAACAGGCUUAGAUACCUUGGUAGUCCACGCUGUAAACGGUGGGUACUAGGUGUGGGGUCCAUUCCACGGGUUCCGUGCCGUAGCUAACGCUUUAAGUACCCCGCCCGGGGAGUACGGCCGCAAGGCUAAAACUCAAAGGAAUUGACGGGGCCCCGCACAAGCGGCGGAGCAUGCGGAUUAAUUCGAUGCAACGCGUAGAACCUUACCUGGGUUUGACAUGGAUCGGGAGUGCUCAGAGAUGGGUGUGCCUCUUUUGGGGUCGGUUCACAGGUGGUGCAUGGCUGUCGUCAGCUCGUGUCGUGAGAUGUUGGGUUAAGUCCCGCAACGAGCGCAACCCUUGUUCACUGUUGCCAGCACGUUAUGGUGGGGACUCAGUGGAGACCGCCGGGGUCAACUCGGAGGAAGGUGGGGAUGACGUCAAGUCAUCAUGCCCCUUAUGUCCAGGGCUUCACGCAUGCUACAAUGGCUGGUACAGAGAGUGGCGAGCCUGUGAGGGUGAGCGAAUCUCGGAAAGCCGGUCUCAGUUCGGAUUGGGGUCUGCAACUCGACCUCAUGAAGUCGGAGUCGCUAGUAAUCGCAGAUCAGCAACGCUGCGGUGAAUACGUUCCCGGGGCU